AUCCGAUGCAGGAAUUUAGGUCAGUAUCUGACCGAUACCGAUACGUAAUAUCGGAUCGGUCCAUCUCUACUCCUAACAUGACCUGGAUGAACAGCAGGGGGCGGUUAGCCUGCUUUAGCCUGCUAGCUGUAGCUUAGUUACACAGUGUGUACCUGACACCAGGAGCAUCGUCAAUUCAGUUUGUCUCACAGUGUGCUGCAACUAAAGGUCCAGCUGUUGUAUGUGACGGGGAGAAAGACAGAGAGCUGAGUUCACUCAGAGCUGGACACAGAUGAUAAAGAAGGAGAGGAAGAAGAGAGCUUAGAGUUAAAGGACGGACUGAAACAAACUGAGACAGACUGACUGUGUUAUUUAAAGA